rnacentral:rRNA from 1 species
UCAAAACGACUCUCGGCAACGGAUAUCUCGGCUCUCGCAUCGAUGAAGAACGUAGCGAAAUGCGAUACUUGGUGUGAAUUGCAGAAUCCCGUGAACCAUCGAGUCUUUGAACGCAAGUUGCGCCCGACGCCUUCGGGCUGAGGGUACGCCUGCCUGGGCGUCA